CCUACGGGGGGCAGCAGUGAGGAAUAUUGGUCAAUGGUCGGGAGACUGAACCAGCCAAGCCGCGUGAGGGAUGAAGGUACAGAGUAUCGUAAACCUCUUUUGUCAGGGAACAAAGGCGGGGACGUGUCCCCGGAUGAGUGUACCUGAAGAAAAAGCAUCGGCUAACUCCGUGCCAGCAGCCGCGGUAAUACGGAGGAUGCGAGCGUUAUCCGGAUUUAUUGGGUUGAAAGGGUGCGCAGGCGGUCUGUUAAGUCAGCGGUAAAAGCCCGGGGCUCAACCCCGGCCCGCCGUUGAAACUGGCAGUCUCGAGUUGGAGAGAAGUAUGCGGAAUGCGCGGUGUAGCGGUGAAAUGCAUAGAUAUCGCGCAGAACUCCGAUUGCGAAGGCAGCAUACCGGCGCCCAACCGACGCUCAUGCACGAAAGCGUGGGUAUCGAACAGGAUUAGAUACCCGGGUAGUC
rnacentral:rRNA from 1 species